rnacentral:rRNA from 1 species
GGUGUGGGGCUCGCGUCCACUUUGUGGUUCCCGACAGACGAUCGGGAACAAGAAACUGAACACCGCGCAUGCGCGGAACAGCUUUCGAACUUCCAAGAGAUUGGGUCGAAGGUGUUCCGGUGGUCAUAGCGAGAGGGAAACGCCCGGUCACAUUCCGAACCCGGAAGCUAAGCCUCUCAGCGCCGAUGGUACUGCAAGGGGGACCUUGUGGGAGAGUAGGACGCCGCCGGAC